AGGUGAUUCUGUCACUGUGCUCUGCUCUUGUAGAGCACAUCUUGAGACCCCAUCUGGAGCACUCUCCUGGAACAUCACAGAAUCAUAGAAUCUGCAUCAUAGAAUAAGCCAGGUUGGGUGGGACCCAUAAGGAGUACUCCCAGCUCUGGGGAUCCAGCACAGGGCAGACAAGGACCUGCAGCAAGCAAGUUUGCAAGACUCUGAAUUCAGGACAAAGAGAUAAAUUGUCACAGGGACAGGUAGCAGAAUGAAGACCCCAUAAUCCAAGUGGAAACAGUCGGUGACCUGCUACACUACUUAGAUACACAAAAUUCCAUGGGUCUGGAUCGCAUCCAUCCAAAAGUACUGUCAGAGCUGCUGGGAGAGCUCACCAAGCCACGUUCAAUCAUUUACCAGCAGACCUGGCUAACCAGGAAGACUGCAGGUGAUUGGAGAUGAGAAAAUGUGAGGCCAAUCUACAAGAAUGCCCAGAAGGAGGGAAUUACAGGGAAUUACAGGCCUGUCAGUCUGAUCUUGUUGCUGGGAAAGGUUACGAAGCAGAUUGUCUAGAGUGACUUCAAAUGGCUCUUGUAGGGGAUCAGUCUUGGAUGGAUUGCAAAUUAGGAAAAAUUUCUUAACUGAAAGAGACAGGCUGCCCAGGG